GAAUUUAAGCAUAUAAUUAAGCGGAGGAAAAGAAACUAACAAGGAUUCCCUCAGUAAGGGCGACUGAAGCGGGAAUAGCUCAAGAUGUGAAUCUGCGCAAUCCAACCNUGGUGCGCCGAAUUGUGGUCUGUAGACUGUGACGUUAUCUGCCGGGCCAAGUCCCUUGGAAAAGGGCAGCAGAGAGGGUGAGACUCCCGUCCGCCUGGUGGAGUGAGUCAUGUGUCAACGAGUCGAGUUGUUUGGGAUUGCAGCUCAAAGCUGGUGGUAAAUUCCAUCUAAAGCUGAAUAUUGGUGGGAGACCGAUAGCGUACAAGUACCGUGAGGGAAAGAUGCAAAGAACUUUGAAAAGAGAGUUAAAGAGUACCUGAAAUUGCUGAAAGGGAAGCGAAGGAAACCAGUGUGUUGACAGUCAUACUUCCUAUAUCACCUGUGGUGUGGGCGCUGUGUCUGUCAGUGGUUCCGCUUGGUUGUCUUUGGUGGAAGAGCGCAGUCAGAGUUGAUGUCUGUUGCUGGCACUGGAGCUGACUGAGCGAGACGAAAUGGUUUUCUUUACCCCGUCUUGAAACACGGACCAAGGGA
rnacentral:rRNA from 1 species